GCACUGCUGAGGAGUCCACUACUAGGACGAAACGGCCGUCCAGUGC
rnacentral:hammerhead_ribozyme from 1 species